rnacentral:lncRNA from 1 species
AGGCCGCAGACGCCGGAGCUGGGGAUGCUCCUGGCCCGGGGCGGGCCGAUGGGCUGCUGGAAUCCUGAUGUGGAACCUCCGACUUCCCAACGGAAGAGGAAAGGCCCAGUACCUAAAACUGAUUUAUGGACAGAAACUCCCGAAGCAUGAGAAGCGUGUGGCCUCUCCGCCCUCUCCUUGCAGGGCGGGCAGCGCUGGCAUCCAGGUCGUGCGCUGCCUUCAUUUCAGCCACUUCACAUUCUCAGCCUUUCAAACACCACCCGUCUCCCUCCUUUCCAAAAUAAAACUGAAAUUAGAUUUUAUUAAUUAGGAAAUGACGUCC